rnacentral:hammerhead_ribozyme from 1 species
GCCGAAGAGUCCCAAAUAGGACGAAACGCGCGUCC